GAUGAGCGCUGGCGGCGUGCCUAAUACAUGCAAGUCGAGCGAACGGACGAGAAGCUUGCUUCUCUGAUGUUAGCGGCGGACGGGUGAGUAACACGUGGAUAACCUACCUAUAAGACUGGGAUAACUUCGGGAAACCGGAGCUAAUACCGGAUAAUAUUUUGAACCGCAUGGUUCAAAAGUGAAAGACGGUCUUGCUGUCACUUAUAGAUGGAUCCGCGCUGCAUUAGCUAGUUGGUAAGGUAACGGCUUACCAAGGCAACGAUGCAUAGCCGACCUGAGAGGGUGAUCGGCCACACUGGAACUGAGACACGGUCCAGACUCCUACGGGAGGCAGCAGUAGGGAAUCUUCCGCAAAGGGCGAAAGCCUGACGGAGCAACGCCGCGUGAGUGAUGAAGGUCUUCGGAUCGUAAAACUCUGUUAUUAGGGAAGAACAUAUGUGUAAGUAACUGUGCACAUCUUGACGGUACCUAAUCAGAAAGCCACGGCUAACUACGUG
rnacentral:rRNA from 1 species